rnacentral:lncRNA from 1 species
GAGCUGCUUCUGACUUGGAGAAGGUCUACACUGGAUGAGGUCGAAAGGCUGGGCUUUUUUUCCUGAUCAUGAGGAUUGCUCAGAGUCAAAAGUACAACCAGGAACUACUCAGGCUGUUUCUUACAAAAGUAUCUUCAUCUCUCCCUCACCGUGGACACCAAGAGUCCUAGAUGACGGAUUCAUUGCCAGAGAUGCCACAUUGGAGGCAUCUUACAAACGAAAAGCAGUUGCACUU